rnacentral:rRNA from 1 species
GACGAACGCUGGCGGCGCGCUUAACACAUGCAAGUCGAGCGAAGCGGCGGACGGGUGAGUAACACGUGAGCAACCCGUCUGAGACAUAGGGAUAGCGGCGGGAAACCGGGAUUAAUACCAAAUGGUCUAAGAUGGACUCGCGUCCCAUAAGUAAGUUGGUGAGGUAACGGCCCACCAAGGAGACGAUGGGUAGCCGGCCAGAGAGGGUGAGCGGCCACAUUGGAACUGAGAAACGGUCCAAACUCUACGGGAGGCAGCAGUGGGGAAUAGAGCACAAUGGAGGGAACUCUGAUGGUGUUACGCCGCUUAAACGAAGAUGGCUUUCGAGUCGUAAAGUGCUUGUAUAUGAGAGUCGGUACCAUAAGAAAAAGCCCCGGCUAACUACGUGCCAGCAGCCGCGGUAAUAC